rnacentral:rRNA from 1 species
CUCCAUGAAGUCGGAAUCGCUAGUAAUCGUGGAUCAGAAUGCCACGGUGAAUACGUUCCCGGGCCUUGUACACACCGCCCGUCACACCAUGGGAGUGGGCUGCAAAAGAAGUAGGUAGUUUAACCUUCGGGGGGACGCUUACCACUUUGUGGUUCAUGACUGGGGUGAAGUCGUAACAAGGUAGCGCUAGGGGAACCUGGCGCUGGAUCACCUCCUUAAACGAUGAU